rnacentral:misc_RNA from 1 species
AACGCAUAUUGCGCUCUCUGGUAUUCCGGAGAGCAUGCUUGUUUGAGUAUCAGUAAACACCUCAACUCCCUUUUCUUUUUUGAAAUUGGAGCUGGACUUGAGUGAUCCCAACGCUUUCUUCCAAGAAAGUGGCGGGUUGCUUGAAAUGCAGGUGCAGCUGAACUUUUCUCUGAGCUAUAAGCAUAUCUAUUUAGUCUGCCUAAAAAACAGAUUAUUACCUUUGCUGCAGCUAACAUAAAGGAGACUAGUUCUUGUGCUGACUGAUGCAGGAUUCACAGAGACAGCUUCGGCUGACUUUUGUAAACUCGAUCUCAAAUCAAGUAAGACUACCCGCUGAACUUAA